rnacentral:ncRNA from 1 species
UUGGGUAUCGGGCACGCGGGAUGCGACGAUGACCUGUAGUGCGAUCGCGGAGGAAGCCGGUGCGAGUCCGGCGCGGUCCCGCCACUGUGACCUGGCCUGACGGCUGGGGAGCCAGAUACUCCGCCCGCACUCGGGUACGCGC